rnacentral:lncRNA from 1 species
UUGCCCUUUGCCACUACCCAAAAGAGGAUGGAGCUCGGCGAGAUCGUUGUGACUAAACAUCCCAAUGACAGGGAGCUGUACAAGAAGGAGAUGCCAAGAGCUCAGGACCUGCUGUGGAGAAGUGGAAACUGGAUCCUCCAUGGUUUUGGUUAUCUCACAGGAGAAAUGAAAGAAUAUGGAGAGUGGAUAAAAAACAAACCCUUAAUGGUUCAGCUGGUGGACUGGAUCUUGCGAGGGACCUCUCAGGUGAUGUUUGUCAACAAUCCUCUCAGUGGACUGAUCAUUUUAGUGGGGCUUUUCAUCCAGAGCCCCUGGUGGAUGCUCACAGGCUGCACUGGAACCACUGUGUCCACGUUAACUGCGCUGGCCCUCAGUCAGGACAGGCCGUCCAUCGCAGCCGGGCUGCACGGCUACAACGGGAUCCUGGUGGGCCUGCUCAUGGCUGUCUACUCUGACAAAGGGGAUUACUACUGGUGGCUUCUCCCCCCUGUGGCAGUGAUAUCCAUGGCCUGCCCAGUCCUGUCCAGUGCUUUGGGAUCCAUCUUCAGCAAAUGGGACCUUCCUGUUUUCACUCUGCCCUUCAACAUUGCAGUCACCCUGUACCUGGCAGCCACAGGACACUACAACCCCUUCUUCCCCACAACCCUCAUCAAGCCCGUAGCUGCAGUGCCCAAUAUCACCUGGUCUGACAUCAAUGUGCCUCUGCUCUUACAGUCCAUCCCAGUUGGAAUUGGUCAAGUGUAUGGUUGUGGGAACCCCUGGACUGGUGGCAUUUUCCUUGUGGCUCUGCUCAUCUCCUCCCCACUGAUUUGUCUUCAUGCUGCAAUUGGAUCAGCUGUGGGGAUGUUUGCAGCCCUGAGCAUUGCAUCCCCAUUUGACAGCAUCUACCUUGGCUUACACAACUACAACUGUGCCCUGGCCUGCAUCGCCAUCGGGGGAAUGUUCUACGCCCUGACCUGGCAGACACAUUUGCUGUCACUUGCCUGUGCAUUAUUUUGUGCCUACUCCGGAGCAGCUCUUGCUAAUGCCCUCUCUGUGCUCGGGCUGCCGGUGUGCACCUGGCCCUUCUGCCUCUCCGCGCUCCUCUUCCUGCUGAUAACCUCAGAAAACCCGGCCAUCUACAAAAUGCCCCUCUGCAAAGUCACACACCCAGAAGCCAACCGGAUCUACUACCUGAGGAUGAAGAGAAGGGCCUCAGAGAGCAGGAGGGAGGAGCAGAAGAGAAAGGAGCAGAAACCCUCUGACAGCUCAAAAAUGAGCCCUGGGGGCACCCCACUGUGCACCCCCAAGAGCCGCCACGCUCACUGAUUUCAGGCACACGCAGCUCUGCAGUUUGGGGAAAGCUUUUCCAGCAUCACCCAGGCACAGCACAGCCACAAACACCACUUUUGCCAGCAGUCUGAGGGCUGGAGAUUCAGCAUUCCACACUGGAGGAAUCACAGUAUGCCCUUGAGCUAAGCUUUCCAAAAAACACUCGGGUAACAUAAUAACAGCUGCCUUAUCAAUCCACUGGCUGUUAACUUGAAAGUCACUUCUUAUCAAUAAUAAUUAUAAGAAUAGGCAGAAGAACAUUAAAGCUGACAAGAGGUUGCAUUUAAUUUCAGAGGUGUAAUUUAACAAAGUAAAUAUGCUGAGAAGGCAUUGGUGUCUAAUAACAAUAAAUAAUGUAAGAACUAAGUCA